AUUGAACGCUAGCGGGAUGCCUUACACAUGCAAGUCGAACGGAGUGGCGAAAGGGUGAGGAAGGUAUCGGAACGUACCCAGUGGCGGGGGAUCACUAAGCGGAGGCGAAGCCAAUACCGCAUACUUGUGGGGCGGCCGCUGGCGGAUUAGCUAGGUGGUGGGGUAACGGCUCACCAAGGCGACGAGCCGUAGCUGGUCUGAGAGGACGACCAGCCACACUGGGACUGAGACACGGCCCAGACUCCUACGGGAGGCAGCAGUGGGGAAUUUUGGACAAUGGGGGAAACCCUGAUCCAGCCAUCCCGCGUGUGCGAAGAAGGCUUUCGGGUUGUAAAGCACUGUUGGCAGGAAAGCGGUACCUGCAGAAUAAGCACCGGCUAACUACGUGCCAGCAGCCGCGGUAAUUC
rnacentral:rRNA from 1 species